rnacentral:sRNA from 1 species
UCCCUCCUGAACCUGUGCAUUUGGUACAAGAGGUGACCUUACCUGAAUAGAGGAGGGUAGUUCUCCAGUUAAGGAUAUAUGAGUAGCUGCACUCCCUGCUAAAUCUCCAAACAACCUCGCAAGAGCCUUGAAUUCCUAAAUCAAAC